rnacentral:rRNA from 1 species
GAUGAACGCUGGCGGCGUGCCUAAUACAUGCAAGUCGAGCGAAUGGAUUAAGAGCUUGCUCUUAUGAAGUUAGCGGCGGACGGGUGAGUAACACGUGGGUAACCUGCCCAUAAGACUGGGAUAACUCCGGGAAACCGGGGCUAAUACCGGAUAACAUUUUGAACUGCAUGGUUCGAAAUUGAAAGGCGGCUUCGGCUGUCACUUAUGGAUGGACCCGCGUCGCGUUAGCUAGUUGGUGAGGUAACGGCUCACCAAGGCAACGAUGCGUAGCCGACCUGGGAGGGGGAUCGGCCACACUGGGACUGAGGCACGGCCCAGACUCCUACGGGAGGCAGCCGUAGGGAAUCUUCCGCAAUGGACGCAAGUCUGACGGAGCAACGCCGCGUGAGUGAUGAAGGCUUUCGGGUCGUAAAACUCUGUUGUUAGGGAAGAACAAGUGCUAGUUGAAUAAGCUGGCACCUUGACGGUACCUAACCAGAAAGCCACGGCUAACUACGUGCCAGCCGCCGCAGUAA